CUGUGGGCCCCGGGAGCCCUGGGAAAACUUGGGGGAGAAUGGGCAUCCCACCCCAGCACUUUCUAGGAAGAAGGGCAGCAGUUUGAAGGGUUGGAAGUAGAGAAAGGAGGUUGCAGGAAGAAGACUCCAUACUUUCGGUGAUGCCUAUUCCUUAGGUAGAACUUAGGAACCUCAGAAUGGAAGCUACAGUGUCCAGGGCCAGCUCUGCUAAGGUAACCAAACAUAGAGAAGGAGGCAAAAGUGACAGAAGAAAACCACGGGAAACCAGCAGAAAUCUAAUGACUUUGGCAGAAAUGCAAUUAUCAAUUGGGAGCUUUUGAUGAACGUUUUCUCAGUAUCCUAUGCUGAAAACAGGUAGAUACUAAUAUCGAUCUUCAAGGGAGGGCUGUUAUGAGUGUUGAAUAAGACAAAAACAAGGAAGCGACCAGCACAAUGCUGGUAAGCAGAGGCAUAUCAUAAACAUCAGUCUCCCCCUUUUUUUUUUUUGAUGUAACAAAUAAAAUUGGGAAAUAUUUGAUUCAUGUAAUGGAUGAACUGCAUCUCCCUAUAAUUCAUGUGUUGAAGUCCUUGCUUGCAAUACCUUAGAGUGUGAGUAUAUUUGAAGAUAGGGCCCUUAUAGAGGUCAUUAAGAUAAAAUUAGAUCAUAUGGGUGGGCCCCAAUCCAGUAUGACUGGUGUCUUUACAAGAGGAGAUGAAGACACAGACACACACGGAAGGAAGACCAGGUGAAGACUGCAAGAAGGCAGCUGUCAGCAAGUCCAGGAGAGAGGCCUCCAAAGGAACCAAUCCUGCCGGCACGUUGUUCUCAACUUCCAACCUCCAGAAUUGUGAAGCAUAUUUUUGGGAUUAAGUCACCCAGUCUCCGGUACUUUAUUACUGCAGCCCCAGCAAACUAAGACAGUCAUUCAAAGCAUUAGCAUGUUUUAUAAUUUUAAAGUUGCUUUCCAUGACGAAUGUAGCACUAGCCUUUGUGCAAAUUGGCUUUCCAGAACCUCAGUUACAGACUGAUCCGUUCAUCUCUCAUAUGGAAGAGAAAACGUAGAUCUGGAAGACUUAGGUGACUUAUCCAAGAUCACCCCACCCUGGGUUUGGUGGCCUCCCGCUGCCAUCACUGGAGGAACAAAAAUAGAUAUCGGAUUGCUUUGAAAAGAUGGCUGUUAAACAGAUAUCUGAGUUCUAAGGAAUACAGUUUUAAGCCCAAAUGUCCCAUCUAUUAGCAAUUAAUGAUGUUUGCCUCAGACUUCGUUCCCACUCCCUUAGCCCCACCAAGAACCUCCCAGCCCUUCAGUUUAAUGUGAGGCACAGCCCCUUUCCUCCAGCACUCCUGCCCUCUCAGCUUAGCCUUUACCACCAAGUGAUUCCGAGAGCUAGGAACACUUUCUGCCAAGAACUGUCUUUCACUGCUACAAGGUAAAGUUCAACGCGCUUUACUAUUUAUCUGCAGGACCUGAAGACUGGCCUAAACCCACCAUUUCAGGCCAGUUCAGGGCAACUUGAGAGAGAGCAAUUGCUAUCCAUAGGAAACCACAAUUGGAAAAGGCAAUGGUUUUCAUUACGGUUUAAGAAAAAAAAAAAACCUCUUUUGUUUCAAAUUUUCUGGAAGACCUUGUUGAGGACACACACAAAAAAUGUGGCAUUAUGUAUGUCUGUCAUAGUAAACAUGAUACAGAGUGUGUAACUUACUCAAACAUAAUUCACUCUUCAGUUGAUGAUUCAGCAGUUUGAAGGGUCAUAUGUACAUGGAUGUUUAAUAAUCAUUUUGUCUUAAAUUGAGCACUUAGUAUGUGCCAGACACUGUGAUCUGUGUUUGAUUAUAGUCUCUCGUUUAAUCCUUUCAAUAACUGAGAUAGUUGCUCUUAUUAAUGCCAUUUUACCCACAGGGGAACAAAAGCUAAGAAGCAUUAAGUGACUCGUCCAAGGUCACUCUAUGGGGAUGAUGUAGAGCUAGAGUUCAAAUUCAAGUGUACACGACUCCAAAGCCCUCUAAAUUAGAGUUAUAGAAAGUUUGGAGUUUGGAUUGAUGGACAACAUCCCUGAGACAUUCUUGAUUCCACAGGAAUCAAAGCUAUUUGUAAUCACAGGGCUAUUUGUAAAAGAGAAGAAAAGGUGUCUUGAAAUUCAACCAACAUGUUUCAAUUAUUUGCUCCUAAGAACGACAGAAGUUUCAACAUUCUGCCAACAGAGUAACUCCUGGAAGACUGGCACAAAAGAAGGCACAAGGCAAAUACCCACCUCUGUAUACCCCGUGCUACUGUGUCACGUACUGCUCCAGGCAACACCAAUGGAUUGGCCACCCUGGCCAAUGAUAACACAUAAAAAUUCCACUCAGUAUGGGGACCAAUAGAUAAUGAACACAGUCAGUGGAAUUCCCUUGCAGGUCUCUUCAAGAUAUUCUUCAAGACUGAUUUCCCUUCUUCUUGCCAAGAUUUUUUCCUCCUUCUUCUAGGAAGUCAGUGAUAAAAAUAUUUAAGCAGUUUUGUCUGCCUUAGACCUUCCACCUAAAAGUACAGCAAGUGGGAUGGAAUGCUAACAUGAGGAUCCUAAUUUUCAGGGAAGGAGGUCAGUAGACUUUCCUAUCUGAAAGAGACCAGUGGUAAAAAUGAAGGUGGUUUGAUGAUUAAGAACCUGUUAAACAUAAUGCAUGGGUUUACAGAAGUCCAGACAGUAAGGGCCUUGCGAUGGACUUCAUGCUCUAUUUUGAGAAAUGCAUGUAGUGGGAAACGUGUUGUGUCCCUCAAAGCAUCUGGAGAAUAUUCUUUAAUUUUCUCAAAUAAGAACUCCAGUCUAUUUGAGUGAGAAUGGUUGGAAUAUCAUUACUGCAGGAUUUGUCAAUCAUUCUUAUUUCUUAUAGUAAUUUUAAAUAUUAUACAUAAUUUCAGGGUAGUAUAACUCUCAGAGGAAAAUGUGAUUUUAUGACUAUACAUACUUUUUGAAUCCAGUGUGUCAUUUGGUGAAUAUAAAUGUAUAGGAAAUGCUACUGUUUGCUCAUAGAGAUUGAAUACUAAUCAAACGUUCCCGCCAUCCAUAUGUAUGAUUUUCAGAAUGAAGCAGGAAGGGGAGAGUUGGAAUGCAGGAAGAGAAUGCCUACUUCAGCUCGAAAUCCUGACAUGUAAAUUAGGUACUUGGUGACUGCCAAGUUCCUUUCCAAUCUCUCUGCAUUGUUUCGCCCUUGUGUUUUAUCCAACUGUUAGGAGGCAAAGCAACACAAAUCAUUGGUAUUUUAGUCAGCUCUGCCUCUGUCAGACCUUUAAAAUUCUCAGGAUUCCUAUGCUGUGUGAGGGAAAUCAUUUGACAGUCUAGCCAGACACUAGAUCUAUUUCUAUUGAUUUUCUUUUGCUAACAGCAUUAGCAUUUUCUGUAAUUUUGAAGUUAUUUUCCAAGUUCUCCAUUUAGAUUAUUAUAGAACUUAACCUUCUGGAAAAAAAAAGAGAGAGAGAGAGAGAGAAUUCAUGUCUUUUCAAACGUUAGUAUAUAAAUUUUCAGGGUACUCGGUCCUGCCCUAGACUGUACCAGUCCAGAAUGACCACCAUGGUCUUGUGUGAAUUCACAGUGUGGUGGUUUGGGCUAGCCAGUAUGGUAAUUUCCUAUGCAUUCUCUUGGAGCUUUUGGAUAUUGUGUGAAUUUCUCUCCAGAAGCAUCAUUCAUAAUGUGAAUGCUAAUGCGUAUCUCUUUGCCAACAGGAGGAAAAACAUCUUAAGAAUAUAUUUGUGGACUUCCUGGAAAUUGAUAAGUUGCCGCUAUAACUAAAGCAAGCAGAUUUUACUAAUUAGAAUUAUCUACAUAAUUUUACUUCAUUCACUUCUUUUUGUCAUACUAGGAGAGCUUUUAUACAACCAAAGAUAUUUUUUGGACCAUGAAUUCAGCAAUUCUCGGAGCCACUCAUCAGUGCCUGAGCUUCAGUGAGUCCAUAUCCCAUGUCACCUAUGGCAAAGGAGAAUGUGAGACUUCUGAAGAGUUUUUUGCUUCUUUCCUGUGGGGCAUGAUUCCACUUCCUAGCAGUAAUGGAAAAUCCUGAAUUAGCUACAGUAAUGUUAGAACCAUUUGGACCUCACCAAGGACUUCAACUAUAUCAUGGCCCUCCAAACACCAACACAGAGUAGAAAGAGGCUCUGAUUCAUGAAAUGUGAAUUUAUGACAGUUGCCACUCUUUAAAAAAAAAACAGACAGAACUUGAGCAAUACAUGACUGAUGCAUUCUCAGGCUGCUUCCUGUGUUCCAUCUGUCUUUCUGCCAGCGCAUUCAUCCUCCAGGUUUGAAAGCAGUCGGGUUCUAGUAUGUUAGGUUUAUGUUCCCCUGCUUUCUACAAUCCUGUUCAAAGAGUUGCUGACUUAACCACAGAGAGAAUUCCAGAACAUGAGACACAGAAUAAACUUGAGCAAUCAUAGUCCAUCCACUUCACUUUCUCAUCGAAAACCAAAGGUCCAGUAAAGCUCUGGAACUCAACACUGUAAAGGAGCGAAGGAGCAUCUAUACAGAGCCUGGGUCCCUGUCUCCUUAUCCUACUUCAGCGGACUUGACUGCAAUCCGGAUUAUGCUGUUUCCUAAGCAUUUAAAAUAAAAUAAAAAGUGUAA